rnacentral:rRNA from 1 species
UGAGUAACAUGUAGGUAUCUGCCCUUUGGCCUGGAAUAACACGAGGAAACUUGUGCUAAUACCGGAUAAGUCUUUACGGAGAAAGCUUUAUGCACCAUUGGAUGAGCCUGCACUUGAUUAGUUGUUGGUGGGGUAAUGGCCUACCAAGACUGUGAUCAAUAGCUGAUUUGAGAGGAUGAUCAGCCACAUUGGGACUGAGACACCGGACCCAAACUCCGUACGGGAGGCAGCAGGUGGGGAAUCUUGCACAAUGGAAGGAAACUCUGAUGCAGCGAUGCCGCGUGAGUAGAAGAACGCCCGUUGGUUAGUAAGCUCUUUCGUCGGGGAAGAAAAUGACUGUACCCGAAUAAGAAGGUCCGGCUAACUUCGUG